GAUGAACGCUGGCGGCGUGCCUAAUACAUGCAAGUCGAGCGAACAGACGAGGAGCUUGCUCCUCUGACGUUAGCGGCGGACGGGUGAGUAACACGUGGAUAACCUACCUAUAAGACUGGGAUAACUUCGGGAAACCGGAGCUAAUACCGGAUAAUAUAUUGAACCGCAUGGUUCAAUAGUGAAAGACGGUUUUGCUGUCACCUAUAGAUGGAUCCGCGCCGCAUUAGCUAGUUGGUAAGGUAACGGCUUACCAAGGCAACGAUGCGUAGCCGACCUGAGAGGGUGAUCGGCCACACUGGGACUGAGACACGGUCCAGACUCCUACGGGAGGCAGCAGUAGGGAAUCUUCCGCAAUGGGCGAAAGCCUGACGGAGCAACGCCGCGUGAGUGAUGAAGGUCUUCGGAUCGUAAAACUCUGUUAUUAGGGAAGAACAAAUGUGUAAGUAACUAUGCACGUCUUGACGGUACCUAAUCAGAAAGCCACGACUAACUACGUG
rnacentral:rRNA from 1 species